CACGGGGGGAGCAAGCGUUGUUCGGAUUCAUUGGGCGUAAAGGGCUCGUAGGUGGCUUUGUAAGUCGGAGGUGAAAUCCCACGGCUCAACCGUGGACACGCCUUCGAAACUGUGAAGCUUGAGGCUGGGAGAGGAGAUCGGAAUUCCUGGUGUAGAGGUGAAAUUCGUAGAUAUUCGGAAGAACACCAGUGGCGAAGGCGACUCACUGGACACAUAUUGACGCUGAGGUGCGAAAGCGUGGGGAGCAAACAGG
rnacentral:rRNA from 1 species